rnacentral:ncRNA from 2 species
AAUCGAACACAGGGGCGCUGGGAGCUUAGUUCCCGGCUGAGAUGCAGAGGCCAACACAGCGGUCUCCGGUCCCUUGAACCUGAUCCGGGUAAUGCCGGCGUAGGAAGUGGAAGAGAGAUUUUG